rnacentral:misc_RNA from 1 species
GAUGAAGAACGCAGCGAAAUGCGAUAAGUAAUGUGAAUUGCAGAAUUCAGUGAAUCAUCGAAUCUUUGAACGCACAUUGCGCCCCUUGGUAUUCCGAGGGGCAUGCCUGUUCGAGCGUCAUUAUAACCCUCAAGCUCAGCUUGGUGUUGGGGCCUGCUGUACUGGCAGCCCUUAAAAUCAGUGGCGGCGCCAUCUGGCUCUAAGCGUAGUAAUUCUUCUCGCUAUGGAGUCCUGGUGGAUGCUUGCCAUCAACCCCCAAUUUUUCUAUGGUUGACCUCGGAUCAGGUAGGGAUACCCGCUGAACUUAAGCAUAUCAAUAAGCGGAGGA